GGAAUAUUGGACAAUGGGGGAAACCCUGAUCCAGCCAUGCCGCGUGUGUGAAGAAGGCCUUUUGGUUGUAAAGCACUUUAAGCAGUGAAGAAGACUCUUCGGUUAAUACCCGGAGACGAUGACAUUAGCUGCAGAAUAAGCACCGGCUAACUCUGUGCCAGCAGCCGCGGUAAUACAGAGGGUGCAAGCGUUAAUCGGAAUUACUGGGCGUAAAGCGAGCGUAGGUGGCUUGAUAAGUCAGAUGUGAAAUCCCCGGGCUUAACCUGGGAACUGCAUCUGAUACUGUCAGGCUAGAGUAGGUGAGAGGAAGGUAGAAUUCCAGGUGUAGCGGUGAAAUGCGUAGAGAUCUGGAGGAAUACCGAUGGCGAAGGCAGCCUUCUGGCAUCAUACUGACACUGAGGCUCGAAAGCGUGGGUAGCAAACAGGAUUAGAUACCCUGG
rnacentral:rRNA from 1 species